UUAAGCGACUAAGCGUACACGGUGGAUGCCCUGGCAGUCAGAGGCGAUGAAGGACGUGCUAAUCUGCGAUAAGCGUCGGUAAGGUGAUAUGAACCGUUAUAACCGGCGAUUUCCGAAUGGGGAAACCCAGUGUGUUUCGACACACUAUCAUUAACUGAAUCCAUAGGUUAAUGAGGCGAACCGGGGGAACUGAAACAUCUAAGUACCCCGAGGAAAAGAAAUCAACCGAGAUUCCCCCAGUAGCGGCGAGCGAACGGGGAGCAGCCCAGAGCCUGAAUCAGUGUGUGUGUUAGUGGAAGCGUCUGGAAAGGCGCGCGAUACAGGGUGACAGCCCCGUACACAAAAAUGCACAUGCUGUGAGCUCGAUGAGUAGGGCGGGACACGUGGUAUCCUGUCUGAAUAUGGGGGGACCAUCCUCCAAGGCUAAAUACUCCUGACUGACCGAUAGUGAACCAGUACCGUGAGGGAAAGGCGAAAAGAACCCCGGCGAGGGGAGUGAAAAAGAACCUGAAACCGUGUACGUACAAGCAGUGGGAGCACGCUUCGGCGUGUGACUGCGUACCUUUUGUAUAAUGGGUCAGCGACUUAUAUUCUGUAGCAAGGUUAACCGAAUAGGGGAGCCGAAGGGAAACCGAGUCUUAACUGGGCGUUAAGUUGCAGGGUAUAGACCCGAAACCCGGUGAUCUAGCCAUGGGCAGGUUGAAGGUUGGGUAACACUAACUGGAGGACCGAACCGACUAAUGUUGAAAAAUUAGCGGAUGACUUGUGGCUGGGGGUGAAAGGCCAAUCAAACCGGGAGAUAGCUGGUUCUCCCCGAAAGCUAUUUAGGUAGCGCCUCGUGAAUUCAUCUCCGGGGGUAGAGCACUGUUUCGGCAAGGGGGUCAUCCCGAUUACCAACCCGAUGCAAACUGCGAAUACCGGAGAAUGUUAUCACGGGAGACACACGGCGGGUGCUAACGUCCGUCGUGAAGAGGGAAACAACCCAGACCGCCAGCUAAGGUCCCAAAGUCAUGGUUAAGUGGGAAACGAUGUGGGAAGGCCCAGACAGCCAGGAUGUUGGCUUAGAAGCAGCCAUCAUUUAAAGAAAGCGUAAUAGCUCACUGGUCGAGUCGGCCUGCGCGGAAGAUGUAACGGGGCUAAACCAUGCACCGAAGCUGCGGCAGCGACGCUUAUGCGUUGUUGGGUAGGGGAGCGUUCUGUAAGCCUGUGAAGGUGUGCUGUGAGGCAUGCUGGAGGUAUCAGAAGUGCGAAUGCUGACAUAAGUAACGAUAAAGCGGGUGAAAAGCCCGCUCGCCGGAAGACCAAGGGUUCCUGUCCAACGUUAAUCGGGGCAGGGUGAGUCGACCCCUAAGGCGAGGCCGAAAGGCGUAGUCGAUGGGAAACAGGUUAAUAUUCCUGUACUUGGUGUUACUGCGAAGGGGGGACGGAGAAGGCUAUGUUGGCCGGGCGACGGUUGUCCCGGUUUAAGCGUGUAGGCUGGUUUUCCAGGCAAAUCCGGAAAAUCAAGGCUGAGGCGUGAUGACGAGGCACUACGGUGCUGAAGCAACAAAUGCCCUCGACUUCCACGGAAAAGCCUCUAAGCAUCAGGUAACAUCAAAUCGUACCCCAAACCGACACAGGUGGUCAGGUAGAGAAUACCAAGGCGCUUGAGAGAACUCGGGUGAAGGAACUAGGCAAAAUGGUGCCGUAACUUCGGGAGAAGGCACGCUGAUAUGUAGGUGAAGUCCCUCGCGGAUGGAGCUGAAAUCAGUCGAAGAUACCAGCUGGCUAGCAACUGUUUAUUAAAAACACAGCACUGUGCAAACACGAAAGUGGACGUAUACGGUGUGACGCCUGCCCGGUGCCGGAAGGUUAAUUGAUGGGGUUAGCGGUAACGCGAAGCUCUUGAUCGAAGCCCCGGUAAACGGCGGCCGUAACUAUAACGGUCCUAAGGUAGCGAAAUUCCUUGUCGGGUAAGUUCCGACCUGCACGAAUGGCGUAAUGAUGGCCAGGCUGUCUCCACCCGAGACUCAGUGAAAUUGAACUCGCUGUGAAGAUGCAGUGUACCCGCGGCAAGACGGAAAGACCCCGUGAACCUUUACUAUAGCUUGACACUGAACAUUGAGCCUUGAUGUGUAGGAUAGGUGGGAGGCUUUGAAGUGUGGACGCCAGUCUGCAUGGAGCCGACCUUGAAAUACCACCCUUUAAUGUUUGAUGUUCUAACGUUGACCCGUAAUCCGGGUUGCGGACAGUGUCUGGUGGGUAGUUUGACUGGGGCGGUCUCCUCCUAAAGAGUAACGGAGGAGCACGAAGGUUGGCUAAUCCUGGUCGGACAUCAGAGGUUAGUGCAAUGGCAUAAGCCAGCUUGACUGCGAGCGUGACGGCGCGAGCAGGUGCGAAAGCAGGUCAUAGUGAUCCGGUGGUUCUGAAUGGAAGGGCCAUCGCUCAACGGAUAAAAGGUACUCCGGGGAUAACAGGCUGAUACCGCCCAAGAGUUCAUAUCGACGGCGGUGUUUGGCACCUCGAUGUCGGCUCAUCACAUCCUGGGGCUGAAGUAGGUCCCAAGGGUAUGGCUGUUCGCCAUUUAAAGUGGUACGCGAGCUGGGUUUAGAACGUCGUGAGACAGUUCGGUCCCUAUCUGCCGUGGGCGCUGGAGAACUGAGGGGGGCUGCUCCUAGUACGAGAGGACCGGAGUGGACGCAUCACUGGUGUUCGGGUUGUCAUGCCAAUGGCACUGCCCGGUAGCUAAAUGCGGAAGAGAUAAGUGCUGAAAGCAUCUAAGCACGAAACUUGCCCCGAGAUGAGUUCUCCCUGACUCCUUGAGAGUCCUGAAGGAACGUUGAAGACGACGACGUUGAUAGGCCGGGUGUGUAAGCGCAGCGAUGCGUUGAGCUAACCGGUACUAAUGAACCGUGAGGCUUAACCUU
rnacentral:rRNA from 1 species